GUACUGGCACACCUUACCAGCACAUACACUAAAACUGGAAAGAUACAGAGAAGAUUAGCAUGGCCCCUGUGCAAGGAUGACAUGCAAAUUUGUGAAGCAUUCUAUAUAUUU